rnacentral:lncRNA from 1 species
GACUGAACCUGUGGCCUACGACGUUCCUAGGCUAGGGGGUCAAAUUGAAGCUGCAGCUGUUGGCCUACACCACAGCCACAGCACUAUCAGAUCUGAGCCAUGUCUGCGACCUAUGCCACAGCUCACAACAACAUUGGAUCCUUAACCCACUGAGAGGGGGCAGGGAUUGAACCCGAAUCCUCAUCCCAGAGCAGGGACCAUGCUUGUCUUGUUACCAUGACAGCCCCUCCAUGGUAGCAGAGUGCCUGUCAGUCAGUGAUUACUGAAUGAGCACGUAGCUGAGACCCCAGGAAUGUUUCUCCAGGGUCUGAGCUCUCCCCCUGCUGACUGCUCACUGUCUCUCCAGGGCCUCCAGCCCCCUCAUGGGGAGACAAACAGGCCAGCAAACACUGGCCAGAGAAAGUGAUGCAAGCUACUCUCUUCUGACCCAUGGGUCAAAGAUGCUGCCUUGGAAGCUUAGACGGGAAGGAACUCACAGUGCUUGGCUUUGGUCCCUGCUGUGAUGCUGCUGAAGCAGGGCGUACACCUCACCGACCCUGUGCUGCCAGGAACUUCUGCACUGGUUCAAGAGAGGAAGAACUUCUACAAUAGUAAGAUCAGAAAAAAGAGAAGAAAGAAUGAACCAACGCAAGACACAGGGACGGGGCCGGGUAGCAGGAUGCAGAGAGGAAAGGCAUUUGAUCAUCUCUGACUAGCUUUGCCUCUGCCAUCGUUCUUCUGCGUAGCUCUUGGAUUCAGUAUCUCAAUGUCUCAGGCUUCAGUUUCUUUGUCUGCAAAAUGGGACAUAAACUUUCUACUUAAAUCUUUCUAAAUAUGUUUUGCUCCAAUUCCAUUAAGCUUGAGGGCCGCGCUACAGACUUGAAAGCAAAGUAUUCAAAUGUGCUUGAAAAAAAGGAAUGGCGAAUGCCCCUUAUUGAUAAGCACUUAUGCAUCACCUAUGAUGUGUGAGGCAUGGUGCCAGGCACACAGAGGCUGGAAAGGUACUGCCCCUGCCCUCAAGGACUCAUUGUUUCACAGCUGUAAAUUCUAAAAGGAAGACACUGACGGCAGAGGUUCCCGUGUGACUUGAACAUCCUCUCCACAAACUGCCAGGGAGCAAGGCAGUGAAAGUCACUCUGGAGCCUCAGCUGGAAAUUUUACAGAGCAAAUACCCCGAUAAAGAAGUUUGGGAUACACCGUAAGGCAGAUGAACUUUUUUUGCCCUUUCAUGAAAAGGAUUUUAAUUCCACAGAAAAUGUAAUAAUGAUAUAAUGGGUGACAAUUAUGAGCAUUAAGAUCUGUCACUUGGAGAGCGAUAGAGCCCUGAAAGCAUCUGAUGUGCACUUGGCUGAGAAGUGCAAGGGCAGGAAUUCGGCAGGGAAGUGCAAGGGCAGGGAGUCGCAGGGCAGGGCAGUCUGUCUGGAAAGAUAGGGCCCCCCACUGGACACCACGAGGUGCUGUGCCAUGGGUCUACUAGGCAAGAAAAUCAAGUCAAUCAUCUCCAACUACAAAAUGACAGAAUAAGCCAGUAAGAUUAUUGAAAAGAGGAGACCAACCCAUGGAAGGAGAAAAUGAGUUUGGUGUCAGAAGGAUAUGGGCUUUGAUCUGAUAUUAAUAAUCAGUAGGUAUGUCCUUCAGUAAGGUAGGCAACCUUUUAGCACUGUGUUUGUUCCUAUAAAUGGAAAUAUCAAUACCUACCCACAUCACAAGGUUAUCAACAGGAUAUUCUGGGGUUCAAUCAAGGUACAAACUCAGUAAGCAGUUUUAUAUAUACAUUUGAUUGUCUCUGAUAUAUAGAUGCCCGUGGAGGCCGGUGGGUCCAAAAUCUUCAGGGUAGCCUGGCCAGCUGAAGAUCCAGGGAGGAUUUGUAGUUUGACUUCAAAGACCCUCUGCUGGCAGAAAUGCCCCCUUCUUCUGGGGAGGUCAGUCUUCCAUUAAGGCCUUCAACUGACUGCAUGAGGCCCAUUCACAUUUUGAGGGGAAAUCUGUCUUAUUACUGAUUUAACUGUUACUCUCAUCUGAAAAAUACCUACACAGAAACAUCUAGAAUACUGUUUGGCUACAUAUCUUGGUACCAUGGUCUAGUCAAGGUAACACAUAAAAUUAACCAUCACCAACUCCCAGGUACAUUGAAAUUUUUUUCAUUAUGAUAUAUCCUCAAUCUUCAGUAAUGCUUUUUGCCUUAAAAUAUAAUAUGUCUGAUAUAAGUGAUGACAUGAAAGCUUUCCUUUUAUACGUUUGCCUUAGUCCAUUAAAGGCCUCUAUAAAAUAUCACAGACUGAUGACUUAAAAAUAGCAGAAAUUUACUGCUCACAGUUCUGGAGGCUGAAGUC